rnacentral:rRNA from 1 species
UACGUAGGGGGCGAGCGUUAUCCGGAUUUACUGGGUGUAAAGGGAGCGUAGGCGGCCGUGCAAGUCAGGUGUGAAAGCCCGGGGCUCAACCCCGGGACUGCACUUGAAACUGCGUGGCUUGAGUACAGGAGAGGCAGGCGGAAUUCCUAGUGUAGCGGUGAAAUGCGUAGAUAUUAGGAAGAACACCGGUGGCGAAGGCGGCCUGCUGGACUGAGACUGACGCUGAGGCUCGAAAGCGUGGGGAGCAAAC